rnacentral:rRNA from 1 species
AGUGAACGCUGGCGGUAGGCCUAACACAUGCAAGUCGAACGGCAGCACAGUAAGAGCUUGCUCUUACGGGUGGCGAGUGGCGGACGGGUGAGGAAUACAUCGGAAUCUACUUUUUCGUGGGGGAUAACGUAGGGAAACUUACGCUAAUACCGCAUACGACCUACGGGUGAAAGCAGGGGAUCUUCGGACCUUGCGCGAUUGAAUGAGCCGAUGUCGGAUUAGCUAGUUGGCGGGGUAAAGGCCCACUAAGGCGACGAUACGUAGCUGGUGUGAGAGGAUGAUCAGCGACACUGGAACUGAGACACGGUCCAUACUCCUACGGGAGGCAGCAGUGGGGAAUAUUAGGCAAUGGGCGGAAGCCUGAUCCAGCCGUACCGCGUGUGUGAAGAAGGCCUUCGGGUUGUAAAGCCCUUUUGUUGGGAAAGAAAAGCAGCAGGUUAAUACGCCGCUGGUGUGACGGUACCCAAAGAAUAAGCACCGGCUAACUUCGUG